UCUGCAUGCCAUCUUACCAGAUUUAAACUAAUGAUCUAUAAUCCGGAAAAAUCGAUAAUCCAGAAUCGCUGAAGUUCAGACGAGUCCGGAUUAAAGACUUUUGACUGUAUAAUGUGUGAAGAUAAAAUACCAGCUACAGACGAGGGUAAAGAAAGGAAUACUUCCUUUUAUGAAAUUAUUUGAAAUGUAUUUCAUGCCAAUUUAUAAUUUAAAUUGAAUAUCACACUUCUGUUUUCUCUAAUGAGAGUCAUAAAUGCACCUCUUCUUAAUUUAAAUUUUCAUAUAUUUACACAAGCAAAAUUAAUUGUUCUAAUUGUUCAGUACAGCAGACUAAUUGUACUGUUGUACUUUAACAUUACGAUACAUCAAAAAAGUUCUAGGCACUGCAUAAAAAAUUUAAGGAAAUAUUGAAUUACAGAGCACAGAAAUGUAUCAAGACUUACGAGAAACACGCCAACGUGGAAAAUAAAGCAAGCAAAUCAACAACCUUGUAUUCAGCGUAGAUUUUGUAAUUCUACUAACAUAAUCCUUAAUUUUUCGUUAUUAUUUCUGCUGACAGAUGGUGCUAUCGGCUCUUCCACUGGUCGCCUGUAGAGUAUAAAUAUGCUCGACAUUCACUUUUGCAGAAUUGUUUUUCUCCUGAUGAAGGGGGACCCGUUCUGCCCUUGAAAUCAAUUGCAAUUUUACAAAAUCUACGCCGAGAGUUGCCAAGGUUUUCGAUUUGCCUGUUUUAUUUUUCACAGAAAAGUAUAUUUUUCACAAACAAUAUAAGUGACCUCAAUAUGAGCAAUGCAUCAAAUAUGAUUAUAAGCACAACUGCCAACCUUGAAAUGCAAAGAAAAACUGGCCUUUUCGGGAGUUUUUUUACACUGUGCAGUGAUGCCAUUUCACAUGAACGCAGAUUUUUAAAUUCACUUUAUAAUGCAUGAUUUAGGGUAUUUAACUAUUUAUAAUAUGAUUCUGAUGUAAAAUACAUUAUUUUUUUAUUAGAUAUUAUAAAUUUUAUGGUUUUGGGCUAACUUCAUUAAUUUUCUUUUAUACAAACAAAAAUCUUUAGUCAAGGGAAGUGUUUAUUUAUCAACGUACUUUCAAAUGCAAUAAAAAUAUAAUUAAUGUACAGUGGCGGACUCCCCCUCCCCAAAAAAACUGCAUCACCUGGAAAAAUAAACAUUUUGUAUUGCCAACACAUUAUUUUAGUUGCUGCAAAGUAAGAUACAAGACCAUUCCACAUUCAUAUUGCAUCAUACAGCUCUUACAAAGUAUUGUGUCACUGAAUUUCUAUAAAUAGCGCAACAAAAGAGAAAAAUGGUCUCACCUCUGUCUUUAAGCAAUGAAAGGAUGGCUCUGUAUGUUCAGUUGAUGCAACGCAAAAAUGUGUGGCAGUGGCUUUAUAUUCAACACUUAUGAUUGCUAAAAAGAUUGGUUGCAAUCUUGAAAGCCAUUAAAAUGGAGCACAAAACUAGAGAUGGUGAGAAAGGCCAGAAGAGGGUGACCACAAAUUCUAAUGAUCAAUACCUAAAACGAAAUAACUGUCAUACAAGUGCUUCUGAUUUAAAUGUUGAAUUUCAGAAACAUGUAAUUUAAGUUCACAAACUGUCUAAAGACGCCUUGCAGAAUGUAGUCAGCAUUCAACCUACAUUUACUGGAUAAUAAGCUGUAUGUUCAGAGAUUCACUUUUACACACAUACAGUAAGCUGUAUGUGUGUAUAAGUUUCACUUUACAGUGUAAAAGUGAAACUUAUUUAUCUACCCUAAAAUUCUCAGAGAGCCAAAUAGUCUGAGCAUGCAUAACCAGCAGAGGGGAUGAAUGCCUAAAUUUAAUAUUCCUGGAACUGUAUAUGCAUUUUUGUACCUAUAUCUUGGAGAAAUGUUUAAAACCAGUUAUUUGGGAUCGUUUUAAAGGUGCUGAAAAUGGAAUUUUUCAUCCAAGUCUGCACCCUGUCAUAAAGAUAUCUCGGUUCAGGUCAAUCUGACAAAAUCUGGUUUUAAAGUUUUGGACUGGCCUGAAAACAGUUCUGACCUGAUUUUCAUUGAAAACUAUUGGCAUCUGAUAGGUAUCAAAAUUGCUAAAAAGCCUGCUACUACGAUUAAGCUGCAGGAAAGCGUUAUUAGGGUUUGAAGGCCAGCUUACAUUCAGAAUUUGAUAUCUUUAAUGCUUGACCACUGCAAAGCACUCACUGCAGCUCCUGGAGGAUUUACUAAAUGGUGAAGUGAUCCUCAAGUGUUUAUACACAUCUAAGUAUAUGUGAUAUGACUGCAAUUAUGUAGAAUUUAUGUUGACUACAGAAUUUGUGCUUUAUUAUUACUACUUGCUACAAUAUUACUUUGCUCAGCAUUUUGUUAAAUACUGCAUUUUUUACUUUUCUGAGUAAUUAAGUGUAAAUAAGUAAUGAAUCCUAAUAAAAUUUGAUUAAGAUUCAUCAUACAACUUUAUUUUAUUAUAACAAUAUGAUUUUUAUAUAGAACAUGCAUGUGAAACACAUUAUUUGCAAAUUUUUCCACUUUUUCACAGUUUUUCGGUCCGCCACCGUCCAUACAGUUGUGUAGAUAAACUUAAUAAUUACCAAAUUAACAAAAAAUUAAAUCUAGCAUAAUAACAAAAAAAGUUAAAUAUAAAUAGUAACUGAUUAGACAUUGUUCGAAUCUUCAUAAAAAAGUUUUAAAAAUUCUAUAGUAGAUUAAGACAAUUCAGAUAAAAUUUAAUAAAAUAUUACACUGAAAACUGUUAGGGGUGAGGGAACAUAAUUUUUACAGCUGAAGUUCCAGUAAUUCAAUAAAUUCUAUUUAUUGUUGAAAAACAGUUUCUUUAGUUAAGGCUAAAAAUUCAAAAAUGGCAGAUUCCAGAUCUGUCUGGAGGUGUAAUGAAAUAGCUGGGGAAUGCCAACAGCUUAUAAGUCAUGCUUUGGUAUAUCAGAAAAUGCCACAUUACAAACAGAAUGAAGACAUUCUACAGUGAACUAGAUAAGUAGGAAAACAGAUUUUUAAAUAUGCAUCGAAAAAUAAGUUUAACAUUAAAAUUAAAAAAAAAAAAAAAAAAA
rnacentral:lncRNA from 1 species